rnacentral:rRNA from 1 species
GAUGAACGCUGGCGGCGUGCCUAAUACAUGCAAGUCGAGCGAACGGACGAGAAGCUUGCUUCUCUGAUGUUAGCGGCGGACGGGUGAGUAACACGUGGCUAACCUACCUAUAAGACUGGGAUAACUUCGGGAGACCGGAGCUAAUACCGGAUGAUAUUUUGAACCGCAUGGUUCAAAAGUGAAAGACGUUCUUGCUGUCACUUAUAGAUGUAUCCGCGCUGCAUUAGCUAGUUGGUAAGGUAACGGCUUACCAAGGCAACGAUGCAUAGCCGACCUGAGAGGGUGAUCGGCCACACUGGAACUGAGACACGGUCCAGAAUCCUACGGGAGGCAGCAGUAGGGAAUCUUCCGCAAUGGGCGAAAGCCUGACGGAGCAACGCCGCGUGAGUGAUGAAGGUCUUCGGAUCGUAAAACUCUGUUAUUAGGGAAGAACAUAUGUGUAAGUAACUGUGCACAUCUUGACGGUACCUAAACAGAAAGCCACGGCUAACUACGUG